AUGGCCUGGACCCCCCUCCUCCUCGGCCUCCUGGCUCACUUCACAGGCACUGUGUCCUCCUAUGAACUAACUCAGUCACCCUUGGUGUCGGUGUCCCUGGGACAGACGGCCAGGAUCACGUGGGUGGGGAACAACACUGGAAGUAAAUAUGUUCAACGGUACCAGCAGAAGCCAGGCCACGCCCCUGUGCUGGUCGAUUAUGGUGAUGGCAACAGGCCCUCAGGGAUCCCUGACUGGAUAUCUGGCUCCAAAUCGGGGAAUCCGGCCACCCUAACCAUCAGUGGAGUCUGGGCUGAGGACGAGGCUGACUAUUACUAUCAGUCAUAUGACAGCAGUUAUAAUCCUCAUGGUGACACAGGCUGA